rnacentral:rRNA from 1 species
CGAAGAACCUUACCAGGUCUUGACAUCCCGAUGCUAUUCUAGAGAUAGAAAGUACUUCGGUACAUCGGUGACAGGUGGUGCAUGGUUGUCGUCAGCUCGUGUCGUGAGAUGUUGGGUUAAGUCCCGCAACGAGCGCAACCCCUAUUGUUAGUUGCCAUCAUUCAGUUGGGCACUCUAGCGAGACUGCCGGUAAUAAACCGGAGGAAGGUGGGGAUGACGUCAAAUCAUCAUGCCCCUUAUGACCUGGGCUACACACGUGCUACAAUGGUUGGUACAACGAGUUGCGAGUCGGUGACGGCGAGCUAAUCUCUUAAAGCCAAUCUCAGUUCGGAUUGUAGGCUGCAACUCGCCUACAUGAAGUCGGAAUCGCUAGUAAUCGCGGAUCAGCACGCCGCGGUCGAAUACGUUCCCGGGCCUU